GACCUCUAAUCGGAAAAGACUACCCGCUGAGUUUAAGCAUAUCACUAAGCGGAGGAGAAGAAACGAACCAUG
rnacentral:rRNA from 1 species